GGAGACGGAGAUGAGGUGGCUGACGAGGAGGUGGCCGACGAGGAGGUGGUGGUGGUGGUGGUGCAGGAGGCAGAAGUUGAGACCGGAGGCUGAGGGGGGACCAGCUGGGUCGGAGGGAUCAAAGCAGCCGAACAUUUCUCUGGAGGAGCUUGUUCAACUUGAGUUCCAGUGUCAGGAUCUAGUGUUGCAUAAAACCUGUAAUUUAAAACUCUGAAUACACUGCAUCUUUCUUUUUCCAGUUAUAGGAAACCAA